GAUGAACGCUGGCGGCGUGCCUAAUACAUGCAAGUCGAGCGAACAGAUGAGGAGCUUGCUCCUCUGACGUUAGCGGCGGACGGGUGAGUAACACGUGGAUAACCUACCUAUAAGACUGGGAUAACUUCGGGAAACCGGAUCUAAUACCGGAUAAUAUAUUGAACCGCAUGGUUCAAUAGUGAACGACGGUUUUGCUGUCACUUAUAGAUGGAUCCGCGCCGCAUUAGCUAGUUGGUAAGGUAACGGCUUACCAAGGCAACGAUGCGUAGCCGACCUGAGAGGGUGAUCGGCCACACUGGAACUGAGACACGGUCCAGACUCCUACGGGAGGCAGCAGUAGGGAAUCUUCCGCAAUGGGCGAAAGCCUGACGGAGCAACGCCGCGUGAGUGAUGAAGGUCUUCGGAUCGUAAAACUCUGUUAGUAGGGAAGAACAAAUGUGUAAUUAACUAUGCACGUCUUGACGGUACCUACUCAGAAAGCCACGGCUAACUACGUG
rnacentral:rRNA from 1 species